GCAUAUCAAUAAGCGGAGGAAAAGAAACUAACAAGGAUUCCCCUAGUAAUGGCGAAUGAAGAGGGGAAAGCUCAAAUUUUAAAUCUACCUGGUUCCCAGGUCGAAUUGUAAUUUGAAGAAGCGAUAUCGGUGUUAAGGUCUGGUUCAAGUUCUUUGGAACAAGACAUCAUGGAGGGCGAGAAUCCCGUGCAUGAUCAGACCGAGAUACUUAAUAUUCGUUCUCUAAGAGUCGAGUUGUUUGGGAAUGCAGCUCAAAAUGGGUGGUAGACUUCACCUAAGGCUAAAUAUCAGCGAGAGACCGAUAGCGAACAAGUACUGUGAAGGAAAGAUGAAAAGAACUUUGAAAAGAGAGUUAAAUAGUACGUGAAAUUGUUGAAAGGGAAACGAUUGAAGUCAGUCAUGCUAGUGAAAAUUCAGUUUGGCGGAUUUUGGGUUUAGGAGUAGAGGCAGGGUCAAACCGUUUCUCUUUUGAACUUGGAAUUUGUCAGAUGCACUUUUUCUUUGGCAGGUCAGCGUCGAUUUCGGAGGUUGUAAAAUACUUGGGGUAAAGUAGCUCUGCUUCGGGAGAGUGUUAUAGACCUUGGGGGAUGCAGCCUGCGGGAUCGAGGAUUGCAGCAAAUGCUUUUGGCUUGUCGCCUGAUCUCUGGAUGUUACCUCGCUUGUAACAACAUUCUUGUUGCCGGUGAGUACUAAUGCCUAUUAGGUUAGAGCGAUCAAAAAUUUUGCUAAGGAUGCUGACGUAAUGGCUUUAAACGAC
rnacentral:rRNA from 1 species